rnacentral:rRNA from 1 species
AGUGAACGCUGGCGGUAGGCCUAACACAUGCAAGUCGAACGGCAGCACAGUAAGAGCUUGCUCUUACGGGUGGCGAGUGGCGGACGGGUGAGGAAUACAUCGGAAUCUACUUUUUCGUGGGGGAUAACGUAGGGAAACUUACGCUAAUACCGCAUACGACCUACGGGUGAAAGCAGGGGAUCUUCGGACCUUGCGCGAUUGAAUGAGCCGAUGUCGGAUUAGCUAGUUGGCGGGGUAAAGGCCCACCAAGGCGACGAUCCGUAGCUGGUCUGAGAGGAUGGACAGCCACACUGGAACUGAGACACGGUCCAGACUCCGACGGGGGGCAGCAGUGGGGAAUAUUGGACGAUGGGCGCAAGCCGGAUCCAGCCAUACCGCGUGGGUGAAGAAGGCCUUCGGGUUGUAAAGCCCUUUUGUUGGGAAAGAAAAGCAGCAGGUUAAGACCCCGCUGUUCUGACGGUACCCAAAGAAUAAGCACCGGCUAACUUCGUG